rnacentral:rRNA from 1 species
GACGAGGGGUCCUAGCGUUGUUCGGAAUUAUUGGGCGUAAAGCGGGUGUAGGUGGCUCUGUAAGUCAGGAGUGAAAUCCCCGAGCUUAACUCGGGAAGUGCUUUUGAAACUGCAGAGCUUGAAUGUGGGAGAGGAUCGUGGAAUUCCCGGUGUAGCGGUGAAAUGUGUAGAGAUCGGGAGGAACACCGGUGGCGAAGGCGGUCUUCUGGACGGUGACUGACGCUGAGGCGCGAAAGCGUGGGGAGCAAACGGG